rnacentral:rRNA from 1 species
AGGGAGCUGUCGAAGGUGGAGCCGGUAACUGGGGUGAAGUCGUAACAAGGUAGCCGUAUCGGAAGGUGCGGCUGGAUCACCUCCUUUCUAAGGAA